AUACUCACUACACUUCUUGUUUUUUUUAAAAUUAAUUUAAUUCAGUUACCUUAGAAAUAAAUAGUGCUGUUGCUUUUUUGUUCAACAUAACCUGGUCAGUAAUUAACACCGUCAAUUAUUGAGAUAUUUUAAAAACCAAUGGAUCUGAACGAAUAAAUGUUAUAUUCUCAAUACACCCACACUCUGUUAGACGGCUACUUGAAGACUCACGAUCUACAUAAAAAUGAAGAUACAUGCUUUAUUGGAUUGGUAACUGAGCGUGAAUCAAUAUUAUUAGGACUGAAAUUAAUGUUUUAGUAGCAGCCAGUCCAUAUUUUUGUAUUUAUUAUAAGUUAGAUUCUACCGUUUUACUUAUAUUUUUAGAUUAUAUAUUUAUACUGGCAAAACUAUGGUCGCCAAUGAAAAUUUACAGGCUUUGAAUGUGUUAUUAAAUGGGUAAUCCAUGUUUUAAUUGGAGAAAAAUGUAUUGCCAGUAUUAAUGACGUUUGCCACUAUCAGUAUCAACACUCGAUGUAUAGUAAAUAACGUGGUUCAAGAAACACUUCUGAAAAAAAUUCUAAAUAAGCUUUACAAUUUCUUUUACAGAAGUCAGUUCAGCAUUUUGCCAUUCCAAAUACGAUUCGGUGUAGAGGUUUUUGAUGUCACUAUUCAAAAAUGGAUAGCUAGUAUGACUACAGAAGUGAUUUGCGUGUGGGCAUACUUGAUUAUCGUUUAUAAGAGUUGAAGAACAGUCUGUAUGUCAUGAAGGUGUUUAUAUAGAAUUUUGGAAGUUGUUAUGUAUGGUAUCAGUGUUUGUGAUGGAUCAACAUUUCUUAACAGUAUUGAGGCCUGUAUAUUUCUCGAUACAUACCUGGAGUAGUCGAAUCAGAUUGUUUAAUGUAUUUGAUUGACGGAGAAACAAAGAAAUCUGAAGAAUUUGUUUAUACUAUUGAAGUGUACAACCAGACAUCAACACUUGGUCCACGGAAACAUUGUCAAGAAGUUACAUUGACGUCUGUGUGUUUAGUUGUUAAUAGGCCACCACAUUUUAUAAUAGUUUUAUUAUUGGUUGUAAUAAUACACACAGAUGAUUAACUUAAGAUAAAACAUAUAUUUAUUUUAUCAAUGUUAGUUUUUUUUCUGAAUGUUUAAUAAAAAGUGUUUUGUAUAAUUUAAAUCAACUAUUGCAUUCAAGUUAAAGAAAUACAGCUUAUAUUCAGUUGGUAUACUCAUAACAGUAAAUAAUAGUUUUUUUCUCAACAAUACUUUGCUUUAUACUUAAAUAUGUAUUCCUAAGUAGUAGUGUACAAUAAAAUGGAAAAGAGUCAGUAAGCUGUAUAUCAAGAAAAAAAACUAUGGUCUAAGUCAUUGCAACAUAUAAGCAACUUCAU